UAGUCCACGCCGUAAACGAUGGUCACUAGCUGUUCGGACUUCGGUCUGAGUGGCUAAGCGAAAGUGAUAAGUGACCCACCUGGGGAGUACGUUCGCAAGAAUGAAACUCAAAGGAAUUGACGGGGGCCCGCACAAGCGGUGGAGCAUGUGGUUUAAUUCGAUGAUACGCGAGGAACCUUACCAGGGCUUAAAUGUAAGUUGCAUUAGCUAGAGAUAGUUAUUUCUUCGGACUACUUACGAGGUGCUGCAUGGUUGUCGUCAGCUCGUGCCGUGAGGUGUUGGGUUAAGUCCCGCAACGAGCGCAACCCUUAUUCCUAGUUGCCAGCACAUAAUGGUGGGGACUCUAGGAAGACUGCCGGCGUAAGCCGUGAGGAAGGUGGGGACGACGUCAAAUCAUCAUGGCCUUUAUGCCUAGGGCUACACACGUGCUACAAUGGUGCAUACAGCGGGUAGCGAAAUCGCGAGUGGGGCUAAUCUUGUAAAGUGCAUCCCAGUUCGGAUUGG
rnacentral:rRNA from 1 species